GCCCCAGUAACGGCGAGUGAAGCGGCAACAGCUCAAAUUUGAAAUCUGGCCCUCGGGUCCGAGUUGUAAUUUGUAGAGGAUGCUUUUGGCGAGGUGCCUUCCGAGUUCCCUGGAACGGGACGCCAUAGAGGGUGAGAGCCCCGUCUGGUCGGACACCGAGCCUCUGUAAAGCUCCUUCGACGAGUCGAGUAGUUUGGGAAUGCUGCUCAAAAUGGGAGGUAUAUGUCUUCUAAAGCUAAAUAUUGGCCAGAGACCGAUAGCGCACAAGUAGAGUGAUCGAAAGAUGAAAAGCACUUUGAAAAGAGGGUUAAAAAGUACGUGAAAUUGUUGAAAGGGAAGCGCCUAUGACCAGACUUGAGCCCGGUGAAUCAUCCAGCGUUCUCGCUGGUGCACUUUGCCGGGCCCAGGCCAGCAUCAGUUUGGCGCGGGGGAUAAAGGUGACGGGAAUGUGGCUCCCUCGGGAGUGUUAUAGCCCGCUACGUAAUACCCUGCGCCGGACUGAGGUACGCGCAUUGCAAGGAUGCUGGCGUAAUGGUCAUCAGCGACCCGUCUUGAAACACGGACCAAGGAGUCGUCUUCGUAUGCGAGUGUUCGGGUGUCAAACCCCUACGCGUAAUGAAAGUGAACGCAGGUGAGAGCUUCGGCGCAUCAUCGACCGAUCCUGAUGUUCUCGGAUGGAUUUGAGUAAGAGCAUACGGGGCCGGACCCGAAAGAAGGUGAACUAUGCCUGUAUAGGGUGAAGCCAGAGGAAACUCUGGUGGAGGCUCGCAGCGGUUCUGACGUGCGAAUCGAUCGUCAAAUAUGGGCAUGGGGGCGAAAGACUAAUCGAAC
rnacentral:rRNA from 1 species